CCCCCGGGAUGGUCAGUCGGGCUCGCACGCGGCGCGGGAGCAGCUUGACCGCUCAGACCCCCCGCGGCGAGAUCUGAGUGGCGCGUGGUGAGGUGACCUGCUAACCGUGCAAUGGGCUGUGAGUAGGGCAUUCGCGCACAGCGUGUGGUGGUGGCAUUUGUGACGCGGCGAUGCCUGGAGGACCUCGUGGCAGGAGUGGUUAAGAACACUGCAACUCCGGUGGACAUGUGUUCCAGAGACAUCACGGAACCGGCUGGCUUGAAGCGGCGUGCUCAUUUUGUGUGACGGAGGUGGAUGACCCUUGAUCCGUGUCGGCGCCGCUAGCAGCGUCCCCGUUCUCGCGUCAGAUCCGAUGAGCACCUGCGGGCCAGAGCCGCUGUGCUGCCUAGCCUCCUCUAGGGAUGAGGAUUCCCUGGCGAACAUCACCUCCGGCUACGACCUGCCCGUGCAGGGGCUGAGAGACGGCAACUUCGAGGUGGUCCACUGCACGGCCAUCGCGUGCCUGUUGGCCAGCCUGCUGAGUGCCGCCGGCACCGUGCUGCUCACUGUUGGCGCCAACCAGUGGAAGCCGUCGACGUUCUACAGCUGGACGACCGGCGACCGCGUGCUCGUCUACAUGGCCGUCUUCGAUGGGCUCUUCAAUCUGAUGCACAUGAUGGACCACGGCAUGUACCUGGCGCAGCGGGGCCACGUGCGACCGCGCCAGCUGUGCGCCUUCUUCGGCUUCAUGCUGUCCGUGUUCGUGAUCGCGCAGAACGUGUUCGUAUGCUUCCUGGCGCUGGAGGCGUGCUUGAUGGUGUUUCGGCUCCGUCCCCCGAACUUCGGCAGACACGACUGGCGCCCCCUCGCCGUCAGUCUGGGUCCGGGCGUGCUCUUCAGCGGCGUGACGUGGGCACUGGACAAACUAGGCCCCAGCGGCGCCUUCUGCUACCUGGACCCAGUCAAGGCGCCGCUCUUCCUCAUGACCUUCACCACGCUGUUCCUCAUCGGCGUGGGCGUCUUCAACCUUAUGUUCUACACGGUGACGGUGGUGAAGCUGCACAUCGCGGACCGUGACAACCGCAAGCAGCUGGGCAGUCGUACGCAGCUCGGCCGCUCGGUGAACAAGACCGCCUGGACGUGUACCUACUUCAUCGUCUCCUUCUUCGUUCAGUGGCUGCCCAUGAUCAUCUACGGCGCCUGUACCAUACGGGGCGGCUCGCCUCCCUUCAGCCUGUUCAUGGCGGUGACGACCUUCACCAACCUGGGCGGCCUGUUCAACCUGCUGCUGUUCACCUACAUCCGGCUGAAGAAGCGUCGCUCGAUGUCACUCAGCCGCCAGAACGCGGUACGCAAGCGGCCGGGGCCGACGUUGCUGGCGACCAGCCCCCGCGCCACGGACUGCACGGCACGCCCCUCACUGCAUGGCGGGAGCCUCGCGGGGGCGUCCCAGGUCUCGGACAACGUCUGAGCGCUCUCCUGGCGGCGCGCCCGCUGUCUGGCGUCGCGACGCCGCUGGGUCAGCUGUCUGCCUCCGCCCUGGGUCCGCGACCGGUAAUCUGCCCCCGGGGCACCGGAGCUGAAGGGCCGGGCGUCGAUUGGUGCCGCUCGGUACGCCGGUCAGUGAUCAAUCACCCCACGCGUGACGCGGACGGCCGGACUCCGAGGACUCGGAGGAGUCCGAGGCCAGUCGGACUCCGAGGACUCCAGGCCGCCCAGACUCGGAGCAGCUCGCGUGGGGAACCGCCUGCGACGGAUCCAGGACGACACGGCCGACAGCGACACGCUCGAGUCGAUGACGUGCAG
rnacentral:misc_RNA from 1 species